CUCUGUUCCAUCGUUGUCAGCGCUAUCUCUAUUUCACCUGUCAUCCCUUCGGUCGUGCCCUUGUCACCCUCUUGCUCAGGAUCUGCUCUGCUCUGUUCUAUGGCUUCUAGCUUUUAGAAGGUGAUGGGGUCUUCAGGCUUGAAUCUUUUGAAACUAAGUGUUACACGUGGGGUAUGCCUGUUUUGUGUCUUUUUUUUCUUUGAGAACUUAGCUUUGCUAUGCUUGAUAAA